AACACUUGGCACCAAGCAGCUGGUAGAGAGCAGCCACAAAAACAAAACAAAAACCGUUGAUCCCGUUGCUAACCUAGGUGUUUAAAGAGAAGCAGGGGGACGCAAUGGGUAAGAACAAAGAAAUAUCAGUGGCAACAGGGCAGAGGAAAUAGGCGAAAUGCAAUCACAAGAACUUAAUAAAACUUGCUAGAGAGAGAUAUCAGAGAAAAUCCUAUGAAUCAGGAGCCAGAAGAAAAGGACUGGACUUCAUUUCUCAUUUAGAAGGGCUGCAGUUCAAUGAUCUGAGUCGAUGAAGAGUUUGAGCCAGAAUUGGCUUAUGUUGGGAUUGGGAAGGAAGGCUUUGGAAUCCUACAGAUUGACAGGAGCUGGAAUGCCAGUUUGAACAGCAAGGGAUUAUGGGAGAGAACCAUUGGCUGGGGGACAUUCUGAAGAGUGCUAGAUCUUCUGUGUCAAGACUGAAAGCUGAAAGGGGGUGGAGCCAAGAUGUCGGAGUAAUCCUCAGCAGCUCUGUGACACAAUGAGAAUCCUCUCCGACCAAGAUUAAAGUAUUGCCACAAAAUGAAUACAGGAGUGAAAGAACCAACAAGGAGACAAUGAAACAACUUUCAAGAAAAGAAAAACCCAAGAGGUCCAAAAAAUGUUUCCUUCUGAACUCUCAGACUAUUGCCUCUCUCUCAAGAAGCUGGAAAGUAGCAUACUUAAUCAAAUGUCUUCUGGAAUCAUGGUCGAUCCC
rnacentral:lncRNA from 1 species